rnacentral:rRNA from 1 species
UACAGAGGGUGCAAGCGUUAAUCGGAAUUACUGGGCGUAAAGCGUGCGUAGGCGGUUCUUCAAGUCCGUUGUGAAAUCCCCGGGCUUAACCUGGGAAUGGCAGUGGAAACUAGAGGACUUGAAUCUGGCAGAGGGGGGUGGAAUUCCACGUGUAGCAGUGAAAUGCGUAGAGAUGUGGAGGAACACCGAUGGCGAAGGCAGCCCCCUGGGCUGAGAUUGACGCUGAGUGCACGAAAGCGUGGGGA